AUCGAAUAAAUUAGGCUAGGACAAAGAUGCUUCAAGUGCCAAAGUCAGUCCGUGAAGCGACUUACAACAGCCUCUCACCGCAAGAACGGAACCAUCCUCGGUGCAAUCAUGUAUAUUGGCAUAAAAAUGUGAUGAUACAUAUUCGAUCAUACUGUACACAUCUUUUUUUCUAAGAUUGAAUUGUCAAUCCAAUGUUAAUCGAGAAAUGUAUAUUGCCCAAACUAUAUUGUAUUUCAUAAGUCAUGUGAAUUAUUGUGUGCAUAAAAAUAAAUGUGUAAUAGGCAUUGCGAAGUCCUGAUAAGUUUUUGUAAUCAAUGAUCUAUUAAUAAACAUAGACUAUUAUGAAUA